rnacentral:rRNA from 1 species
UACGGGGGGAGCAAACGUUGUUCGGAAUUACUGGGCGUAAAGCGUGCGUAGGCGGUUUGUUAAGUCCGUUGUGAAAGCCCUGGGCUCAACCUGGGAAUUGCAGUGGAUACUGGCGAGCUAGAGUGCGGUAGAGGAUGGUGGAAUUCCCGGUGUAGCGGUGAAAUGCGUAGAGAUCGGGAGGAACACCCGUGGCGAAGGCGGCCAUCUGGACCAGCACUGACGCUGAGGCACGAAAGCGUGGGGAGCAAACAGG